UUGCAUACUAGUGCAAAUUCUGUGAAACGGCCAAAUUCUUACCAAACUCCAGCAGUUCAGAAAUCCCACCUGAAACCACUGGAUUCCACUUAGACUGGGUUCCUCCAUUUGCAUCAGUGCAAACAAGGCAGCAGUUCCACUACAGCUUCUCUUCUGCCCAAAGAAGACAGAAUUGGGAUUCAAGAUGACCUUAACAAAUUGGAGGACUGGGCCAAAACUAAUGAAAUGAAUGUCAAUAGGUUGACUAUUAAAAUGUACACAAAUAUCACUCUGA